AUCGAACGCUGGCGGCAGGCCUAACACAUGCAAGUCGAACGAGUGGCGGACGGGUGAGUAAUGUCUGGGAAACUGCCUGAUGGAGGGGGAUAACUACUGGAAACGGUAGCUAAUACCGCAUACCAUCGGAUGUGCCCAGAUGGGUUAGGCUAGUAGGUGGGGUAAAGUCUCACCUAGGCGACGAUCCCUAGCUGGUCUGAGAGGGUGACCAGCCACACGGGAACUGAGACACGGUCCAGACUCCUACGGGAGGAAGCAGUGGGGAAUAUUGCACAAUGGGCGCAAGCCUGAUGCAGCCAUGCCGCGUGUAUGAAGAAGGCCUUCGGGUUGUAAAGUACUUUCAGCGGGGAGGCGUUACCCGCAGAAAAAGCAACGGCUAACUACGUGCCAGCAGCCGCGGUAAUAC
rnacentral:rRNA from 1 species